UUUGGUUAAGUUAGAAAGGGCGCACGGUGGAUGCCUUGACACUAGGAGUCGAUGAAGGACGGGACUAACGCCGAUAUGCUUCGGGGAGCUGUAAGUAAGCUUUGAUCCGAAGAUUUCCGAAUGGGGAAACCCACCAUACGUAAUGGUAUGGUAUCCUUAUCUGAAUACAUAGGGUAAGGAAGACAGACCCAGGGAACUGAAACAUCUAAGUACCUGGAGGAAGAGAAAGCAAAUGCGAUUUCCUGAGUAGCGGCGAGCGAAACGGAACAUAGCCCAAACCAAGAGGCUUGCCUCUUGGGGUUGUAGGACAUUCUAUACGGAGUUACAAAGGAACGAGGUAGACGAAGCGACCUGGAAAGGUCCGUCGUAGAGGGUAACAACCCCGUAGUCGAAACUUCGUUCUCUCUUGAAUGUAUCCUGAGUACGGCGGAACACGUGAAAUUCCGUCGGAAUCUGGGAGGACCAUCUCCCAAGGCUAAAUACUCCCUAGUGAUCGAUAGUGAACCAGUACCGUGAGGGAAAGGUGAAAAGCACCCCGGAAGGGGAGUGAAAGAGAUCCUGAAACCGUGUGCCUACAAAUAGUCAGAGCCCGUUAACGGGUGAUGGCGUGCCUUUUGUAGAAUGAACCGGCGAGUUACGAUCCCGUGCGAGGUUAAGCUGAAGAGGCGGAGCCGCAGCGAAAGCGAGUCUGAAUAGGGCGUUUAGUACGUGGUCGUAGACCCGAAACCAGGUGAUCUACCCAUGUCCAGGGUGAAGUUCAGGUAACACUGAAUGGAGGCCCGAACCCACGCACGUUGAAAAGUGCGGGGAUGAGGUGUGGGUAGCGGAGAAAUUCCAAUCGAACCUGGAGAUAGCUGGUUCUCCCCGAAAUAGCUUUAGGGCUAGCCUUAAGUGUAAGAGUCUUGGAGGUAGAGCACUGAUUGGACUAGGGGUCCUCAUCGGAUUACCGAAUUCAGUCAAACUCCGAAUGCCAAUGACUUAUCCUUAGGAGUCAGACUGCGAGUGAUAAGAUCCGUAGUCAAAAGGGAAACAGCCCAGACCGCCAGCUAAGGUCCCAAAGUGUGUAUUAAGUGGAAAAGGAUGUGGAGUUGCUUAGACAACUAGGAUGUUGGCUUAGAAGCAGCCACCAUUUAAAGAGUGCGUAAUAGCUCACUAGUCGAGUGACUCUGCGCCGAAAAUGUACCGGGGCUAAAUACACCACCGAAGCUGCGGAUUGAUACCAAUGGUAUCAGUGGUAGGGGAGCGUUCUAAGGACAGUGAAGUCAGACCGUAAGGACUGGUGGAGUGCUUAGAAGUGAGAAUGCCGGUAUGAGUAGCGAAAGACGGGUGAGAAUCCCGUCCACCGAAUGCCUAAGGUUUCCUGAGGAAGGCUCGUCCGCUCAGGGUUAGUCAGGACCUAAGCCGAGGCCGACAGGCGUAGGCGAUGGACAACAGGUUGAUAUUCCUGUACCACCUCUUUAUCGUUUGAGCAAUGGAGGGACGCAGAAGGAUAGAAGAAGCGUGCGAUUGGUUGUGCACGUCCAAGCAGUUAGGCUGAUAAGUAGGCAAAUCCGCUUAUCGUGAAGGCUGAGCUGUGAUGGGGAAGCUCCUUAUGGAGCGAAGUCUUUGAUUCCCCGCUGCCAAGAAAAGCUUCUAGCGAGAUAAAAGGUGCCUGUACCGCAAACCGACACAGGUAGGCGAGGAGAGAAUCCUAAGGUGUGCGAGAGAACUCUGGUUAAGGAACUCGGCAAAAUGACCCCGUAACUUCGGGAGAAGGGGUGCUUUCUUAACGGAAAGCCGCAGUGAAUAGGCCCAAGCGACUGUUUAGCAAAAACACAGCUCUCUGCGAAGCCGUAAGGCGAAGUAUAGGGGUGACACCUGCCCGGUGCUGGAAGGUUAAGGAGAGGGGUUAGCGUAAGCGAAGCUCUGAACUGAAGCCCCAGUAAACGGCGGCCGUAACUAUAACGGUCCUAAGGUAGCGAAAUUCCUUGUCGGGUAAGUUCCGACCCGCACGAAAGGUGUAACGAUUUGGGCACUGUCUCAACCAGAGACUCGGUGAAAUUAUAGUACCUGUGAAGAUGCAGGUUACCCGCGACAGGACGGAAAGACCCCGUGGAGCUUUACUGUAGCCUGAUAUUGAAUUUUGGUACAGUUUGUACAGGAUAGGCGGGAGCCUUUGAAACCGGAGCGCUAGCUUCGGUGGAGGCGCUGGUGGGAUACCGCCCUGACUGUAUUGAAAUUCUAACCUACGGGUCUUAUCGACCCGGGAGACAGUGUCAGGUGGGCAGUUUGACUGGGGCGGUCGCCUCCUAAAGUGUAACGGAGGCGCCCAAAGGUUCCCUCAGAAUGGUUGGAAAUCAUUCGUAGAGUGCAAAGGCAUAAGGGAGCUUGACUGCGAGACCUACAAGUCGAGCAGGGACGAAAGUCGGGCUUAGUGAUCCGGUGGUUCCGCAUGGAAGGGCCAUCGCUCAACGGAUAAAAGCUACCCCGGGGAUAACAGGCUUAUCUCCCCCAAGAGUCCACAUCGACGGGGAGGUUUGGCACCUCGAUGUCGGCUCAUCGCAUCCUGGGGCUGUAGUCGGUCCCAAGGGUUGGGCUGUUCGCCCAUUAAAGCGGUACGCGAGCUGGGUUCAGAACGUCGUGAGACAGUUCGGUCCCUAUCCGUCGUGGGCGUAGGAAAUUUGAGAGGAGCUGUCCUUAGUACGAGAGGACCGGGAUGGACGCACCGCUGGUGUACCAGUUGUUCUGCCAAGGGCAUAGCUGGGUAGCUAUGUGCGGAAGGGAUAAGUGCUGAAAGCAUCUAAGCAUGAAGCCCCCCUCAAGAUGAGAUUUCCCAUAGCGUAAGCUAGUAAGAUCCCUGAAAGAUGAUCAGGUUGAUAGGUUCGAGGUGGAAGCAUGGUGACAUGUGGAGCUGACGAAUACUAAUAGAUCGAGGACUUAACCAUAUAA
rnacentral:rRNA from 1 species